rnacentral:rRNA from 1 species
AACUGGUGCCGAUGAGUGUGUUUGCUUGGCACAGGGUCGGGCUGCCUGGCCCUGGGAAAGCGUCCCACGGUGGGGGUGUGCUGGUCUCCUAGAGCGGGGCUGGGUUGCAGGAUGGACGAGAAUCAUGUGGCCCUGGUGGGUUUGUGGCUGUGGUUGCUUUGGGGCCCUGGUGGUGGGACCCGGGGCUUGUGAGGUGGGUCUUGGUGGGUGCAUGCCCCCUGUGGCAGUGAUGACCCAUUCGAAUGCCCUGUCAACUAUUUGAUGGUAGUUGCCAUGCCUACCAUGGUGACCAUGGGUGAUGGAAUAUCAGGGGUUCUAUUCUGGAGAGGGAGCUUGAGAAACAGCUACGACAUCCAAGGAAGGCAACAGGUGCUCAAAUUACCCACUCCCGAUCCAGGGAGGUAGUGACGAAGAAUAACAAUACAGGACUAUUUUGAGGCCCUGUAAUUGGAAUGAGUCCACUUUAAAUCCUUCAAUGAGGAUCCAUUGGAGGGCAAGUCUGGUGCCAGCAGCUGUGGUAAUUUGAGCUCCAAUAGCGUGUAUUAAAGUUGCUGAAGUUAAAAAGCUUGUAGUUGGAUUUUGGGAGCAGCCGGGCCGUCCGCCGUGAGGCGAGCCAUUUCCCUGCCCAUCCCUGCCCCUUGCCUCUUGGUGUCCCCUCGAUGCUCUUAGCUGAGUGUCCCGCGGGGCCUGAAGUGUUAACUUUGAAAAAAUUAGUGUUCAAAGCAGGCCUGAGCCACCUGGAUACCACAGCUAGGAAUAAUGGAAUAGGACCGUGGUUCUAUUUUCUUGGUUUUCGGAAGGGAGGCCAUGAUUUAAGAGGGAUGGCUGGGGGCGUUUGUAUUGCCCCGCUAGAGGUGAAAUUCUUGGAACGGCGCAAGACGGACCAGAGCGAAAGCAUUUGCCAAGAGUGUUUUCAUUGAUCAAGAAUGAAAUUGGAGGUUCGAAGAUCAGUUACUGUUGUAGUUCUGACCAUAAAUGAUGCUGACUGGCAAUGUGGCGGCAUUAGUCCCGUGACCCGCUGGGCAGCUUCUGGGAAACCAAAGUCUUUGGGUUCCGGGGGGAGUAUGGUUGCAAAGCUGAAACAAAGGACUUGAUGGAAGGGCACCACCAGAGUGGAGGCUGCAGCUUAAUUUGACUCAACAUGGGAAACCUCGCCUGGACACGGACAGGAUUGACAGAUAGCUCUUUCUCGAUUCUGUGGGUGGUGGUUCAUGGCUGUUCUUAGUUGGAGCGAUUUGUCUGGUUAAUUCCGAAAACGAAUGAGACUCUGGCAUGCUAAUUAGUUACAUGACCCCUAAGCGGUCGGUGUCCCCCAACUUCUCAGAGGGACAAGUGGCAUUCAGCCCCCCGAGACUGAGCAAUAACAGGUCUGUGAUGCCCUUAGAUGUCCGGGUCUGCACGUGUGCUACACUGACUGGCUCAGUGUGUGCCUACCCUAUGCUGGCAGGUACGGGUAACCCAUUGAACCCCAUUCAUGAUGGGGAUUGGGGAUUGCAAUUAUUCCCCAUGAAGGAGGAAUUCCCAGGAAGUGCCGGUCAUAAGCUUGCAUUGAUUAAGUCCCUGCCCUUUGCACACACCACCCAUCGCUACUACCAAUUGGAUGGUUUAGUGAGUACCUUGGAUUGGCCCCGCCGGGGUCAGCCCAUGGCCCUGGCAGAGCACUGAGAAGACGGUCGAACUUUAUCUAGAAGGAAGUAAAAGUCAUAACAAGGUUUCUGUAGGUGAACCUGCAGAAG